AAAGAAACUAACAAGGAUUUUCUUAGUAGCGGCGAGCGAAAAGAAAAUAGUUCAGCACUAAGUCAUUUUGUCUUUUGUAUGGCAAAUAUGAGAUGCAGUGUAUGGUAUGUCUAAAUUCUAAUAUGAGAAAUUGACGAUUUAAGUCCUUCUUAAAUGAGGCCAUUUACCCAUAGAGGGUGCCAGGCCCGUAUAACGUUUAAUGAUUAUUAGAAGACAUUUCCAAAGAGUCGUGUUGCUUGAUAGUGCAGCACUAAGUGGGUGGUAAACUCCAUCUAAAACUAAAUAUGACCAUGAGACCGAUAGUAAACAAGUACCGUGAGGGAAAGUUGAAAAGAACUCUGAAUAGAGAGUUAAAUAGUACGUGAAACUGCUUAGAGGUUAAGCCCGAUGAACCUGAAUAUCUAUUAUGAAAAAUUCAUCAUUAGAAUUAUGAUAAUAAUUUUGAAAUAAUAAAUAAAAUGUUAUAAUGAUAAUGUGCAUUUUUUUCAUAUAAAGGACAUUGUAAUCUAUUAAAUAUUUAUCAUAAAAUUAUAAACUUGUAGUUUAUUUAAAUUAUUUGUUUGCUAUGCAUUUUAAAUAACAUAAAAUAAGUGUUUAUUUAGAUUUGAUAAAUUAUUGAUAGAUUUCUAAUAUACAAUGUAAUAAAUUUUUAUUAAUAAAAUUAUGUAAUGGCAUAAUUAUCUUUGAUUCUUAUGUUUUAUUAAAUACAUUUGUAUGAUUAACAAUGCGAAAGAUUCAGGAUACCUUCGGGACCCGUCUUGAAACACGGACCAAGGAGUCUAACAUAUAUGCAAGUCAUUGGGAUUUAUAAUUUUAAUAAACCUAAUGGCGUAAUUAACUUGACUAUAUUUUUAAUAUGGGAUUAGUUUUUAAACAAAAAAAUUUUUUUUUUAUUAACACAAUCCCGGGGCGUUUUAUAUAGUUAUGUAUAAUAAUAUUUUUAAUAUUAUUUAUACCUCUAACUGGAACG
rnacentral:rRNA from 1 species